AGCAGCCGCGGUAAUUCCAGCUCCAAUAGCGUAUAUUAAAGUUGUUGCAGUUAAAAAGCUCGUAGUUGAAUUUCGGGGUCAGUAGGCUGGUCGUGCCACUGGUAUGCACUGGUCUCACUGAUUCCUCCUUCCUGAUGAACCGUAAUGCCAUUAAUUUGGUGUUGCGGGGAAUCUGGACUGUCACUUUGAAAAAUUAGAGUGUUUAAAGCAGGCUAACGCUUGAAUACAUUAGCAUGGAAUAAUGAAAUAGGACGUUCGAUCUUAUUUUGUUGGUUUCUAAGAUUGACGUAAUGAUUAAUAGGGAUAGUUGGGGGCAUUAGUAUUCAAUUGUCAGAGGUGAAAUUCUUGGAUUUAUUGAAGACUAACUACUGCGAAAGCAUUUGCCAAGGAUGUUUUCAUUAAUCAAGAACGAAAGUUAGGGGAUCGAAGACGAUCAGAUACCGUCGUAGUCUUAACCAUAAACUA
rnacentral:rRNA from 1 species